rnacentral:lncRNA from 1 species
UAUCGCCGCUUCGCAAGAACGUAGGCUCAAGUCAAAAUUUGACGAAAUGGAGUUAAUACUGCAGAUCUACUAAAAAUUAAUCUAUCUUUCGCGUGAAUAAAGACUAUUGCGUUAAUAAUAAUAUUCGCUAAGAGAUGGCACCAAGUGUCUAUAUUUAUUUGGCGCGAAACUAGUUAAAUACUAAAUAUUUUCGUAUGAAUACAGCCAGAAGUCAGUUACGCCGCAGAAUGUGUGUGUAGUUCUCAUCAAGAACGACCUAUUUUAUAUUUACGUUUAUUUUUGGUGAAAAUUAUUUCUAAAAUAAGGACCCUUUUCUAAUUAGGUCAGUGUUUUUGAGAAAAAUGUCCAAAAGAGUUGGGUUCUUAGCAGAACUACGAGAAAACAUUAAAAAACAAAAAUCAGUGAAUCAAGAAGAUGAAUUGCCAAUAAUAAUGGCUAGCCCUUCUCAAGUUUAUGCAUGAUGAUGGAAUUGAUCAAGCUUCUAAUUUGGAAAAUGAUUUGAAUCAUGAAAAUGUGACAUUAAAUCUACGUUUUAAAAAAGGAAAUGACCGACAAAACGAUGAGGCCGUUGUGGAUGGUACCUAAUUGUUUUUAUUAUCUUACUGUGUAUUUUAAACGGUAUUUAUAUUAUGAAUUUAAUCUAGCAGUUAAUGCACUAGCAAGAGUUCGCGCGUUAGAAUAAACUUUU